CUUAAUCCCAAGAUUUUAUUACCAUAACAAUUAAUCGGACAACCAACAAAAGACGCAUGUUUUUUUUUUUUUACUUUUCCAUUAUUUCAUUUUAUGAACAUAAACUCCGACUAUCAGAGCUCAUAAUUUUCCGAAUUUCGUCAAGAAAUUUCAUAUUUCGAUGAUCAUUCCCAAAUUCCAACAUGGAAACAAUUUGAAACAAAAUGAAAAAUACAUAACACCAUUCCAGGGACUCGAUUUUUUCUUCAUCACCAUUUUUAUGUGAAUGGAAAUUUACAGCAAAGGGAAAAUUGUCAUUAUUUGAAAGAAAAAAAAGCAAAAAAAAUAUUGCAGCUAAAGGGAUUGAUUUUCGAGAAACUAUUCGCAUAUACAACUUUGACCUGCCAAAAGCUGCUAAAGAUUAUUUACAUCAGGCUGGAAAAAUCAAAGAACCAAAUACAAAAGGAAACAAAAAAAAACCAAAAUGAAAACUCAAAAAUAAAAUAACCCAUUUUCGUCUCUUCUCGAAUUAUCGACGUUGUGGAAUUCCCUUUGAAAAUCCUAACGGUGAAGACAAUGAAGGAGUUUCGAAGAAGCUAUGACUUUGUUUGGAGGUUCAUCGGACAAUCACCAGUGUAGACCAACUCAAGGAUAAUCUAAAACUCUAUCUGGAUUUUCAUAUUUUCUAUUUUGUUUUGGAGAAAUCCAAACGAGUGAGGUUGAAGAGGAAAGAAAGACUCGUAGUUGGCUCUCGACUUUUUGUUGGAGUGGAGAUUCAAAUGGCAGAAGAGAGCAUCCACAAGGGUGGCUUUGGUUCGUCGGAGAAAAGAGGGUGAAA
rnacentral:lncRNA from 1 species